rnacentral:lncRNA from 1 species
AUUUGGGGUGGGACACAAUUCAGCCCGCAACACGUGUUUAGUAGCCGUGCACGCACAUACUUUCGUUAUGACUUCACAGGCUCACAGAAUGUUAAGAAUUGGAAACCUCAGGUGUCGUCCAGUGUAGUUCCUACCUUCUCUUUUCCAGAAAGAGGAAGGAAUGUAACAUUACACAAGCCUGUUUCUGUGACUUUCAACUUGCUAUCCCAGGACCAAAGAAGGAUCUGGAUUCAAGAUGAAAACAACUGCCUUCAAUAUUUGUUAUCGUUGGCUGAAGAUUGCAAAUUUACCAGAAACUUUGCUGUUUUUGAAGAUGAGCGGGCUAGAGGAACAGUCAGAAUUAGUGGAGAUUCAACGUAAGUAUUGAAAAGUAAGGAGAAUCUGUAUCUAUUUCAUUAUAAUGUGUAUGCAAGUAUGUGUGUGUAAAUAUGCUUUAUGUCUAUCUUUAUCUGUCUUCUACCUAGCUAUCUAUUUAAUGUAUGCAUGCCGACAAAGUUUGGAAGAAAUGUUUUGCUAAAAGAAAAAUAAUUACAGUAGAGUGGUGGAAUUCAAGUAAUUAGAAAAAUUUUAUUAGUAUUUUAUUAGUGUUUGAAUAAAUUAAUGUUUAAAAAUAAGUAUCA